rnacentral:lncRNA from 1 species
UUCUACAGGUUCAUAAGUUCUACCGGGGCAGCGGGGGCAGUUUCAGCAAAGCCCAGGAGGAGUGGACCACCGGAGCGUGGAAAAACCCACACGUGCAGCAGGCUGCCCAGAACGCAGCCAUGGGGGCUGCUCAGGGCGCCAUGAACCAACCGCAGACUCAGUAUUCUGCCACUCCCAAUUACACAUACUCCAAUGAGAUGUGAGCCAGCCAAGCCCACCAGGAGGCAGGGCUGGGGGCCAGUGGGACAGGGGGCUCAAGCCACAUCAUCUGUGUGGUGACCAAGCAGGGUUCCCCCUUCCCUUUUCUCCUCCCCAACUUUGUACAAAGAAUCAGAGUUAUAUAUAUAUAUAUAUGUAUACGUAUAUGUAUAUGUCUAUCCCCACCCCCACCCUUUGGGUCCUGCCCUUGGCACUCCGAGAGCUGCGUACUGCACAGGAAGUGUCUCUGUGCAUUGGGAGCUGAGUCUAUGUCCCCUUGUGAAAUAACGUGCAGUGGAGAGCUC